ACUGAGACAGCCAUGACAAAUGGUUUACAUCGUUUUCAUGCUCAUCAAACCAUUCAGUGACCACUCGUGCCCUGUGGAAUGGGGGGCAUUGUCAUCCUGGAAGAGACCACUCCCAUCAUGAUACAAAUGAUUCAUAGGUUGAAGGUGAUCACUCUGAAUGGCUGUGUAUUUUUUGGCCCUUGCACUCUAAGGGUUUGAGUAGACCAAAACCAUGACAGGAAAAUAUACCCCACACCAUAACAUACCAUAACUUUGUAUCCCUCAAUUACUCAAGAUCCUUUAUUUAUUUCCUUUAUUUUGGCUGUUACCUGUAUGUUCUUUACCAUAAUAACUCUAAGAGCAUGUUUUGAUAGUGUGGCAUAUUUGGUCUUUACCAUAAUAUCUGUUUGAUAGUGUAGCCUAUAUGUUCUUUACCAUAAUAACUGUAAGAGCAUGUUUUGAUAGUGUAGCCUAUAUGUUCUUUACCAUAAUAACUGUAAGAGCAUGUGUUGAUAGUGUAGCCUAUAUGUUCUUUACCAUAAUAACUGUAAGAGCAUGUUGAUAGUGUAGCCUAUAUGUUCUUUACCAUAAUAACUGUAAGAGCAUGUUGAUAGUGUGGCCUACAUGUUCUUUACCAUAAUAACUGUAAG
rnacentral:lncRNA from 1 species